rnacentral:rRNA from 1 species
UACGUAGGGGGCUAGCGUUGUCCGGAAUCAUUGGGCGUAAAGGGCGCGUAGGUGGCGCGGUAAGCGUGCGGUGAAAGCCUGGGGCUCAACCCCGGGUCGGCCGUGCGAACUGCUGGGCUUGAGCACUGUAGAGGCAGGCGGAAUUCCGGGUGUAGCGGUGGAAUGCGUAGAGAUCCGGAAGAACACCGGUGGCGAAGGCGGCCUGCUGGGCAGUUGCUGACACUGAGGCGCGACAGCGUGGGGAGCAAACAGG